AUAUAAUUGCUAUGAUCAGAGGAGACUAGAAUAAUUAAUUCAAACGAGCACUGUAUAGCUCUUUCCAACAAAUUAAUAGUGAGGUUCAAUAAAAAAAUUGCAAAUGAUCUUCUAAAAUUGAAGUCGCAUCUUCCAUAUCAUAUUUACCCAGACAAACUGCUUACAAUACUAAAUUUCCAAAGGAAUGACACAUGUAAAAAGCAACAUUACCAU